rnacentral:rRNA from 1 species
UGGGGAAUAUUGCACAAUGGGCGCAAGCCUGAUGCAGCCAUGCCGCGUGUAUGAAGAAGGCCUUCGGGUUGUAAAGUACUUUCAGCGGGGAGGAAGGGAGUAAAGUUAAUACCUUUGCUCAUUGACGUUACCCGCAGAAGAAGCACCGGCUAACUCCGUGCCAGCAGCCGCGGUAAUACGGAGGUUGCAAGCGUUAAUCGGAAUUACUGGGCGUAAAGCGCACGCAGGCGGUUUGUUAAGUCAGAUGUGAAAUCCCCGGGCUCAACCUGGGAACUGCAUCUGAUACUGGCAAGCUUGAGUCUCGUAGAGGGGGGUAGAAUUCCAGGUGUAGCGGUGAAAUGCGUAGAGAUCUGGAGGAAUACCGGUGGCGAAGGCGGCCCCCUGGACGAAGACUGACGCUCAGGUGCGAAAGCGUGGGGAGCAAACAGG